ACUUGUCAGAAAGUAGCCUGAAAAAAUAUUGAAGUUGCCGUUUUUUAAGAAAGUUAUGUUCCUUUUCUCCAUGUUCUAAAACGUACACAUGUGAAUAUUCAGACGUGUAUUUCUUAAGAUCCUGAUCUGGGAGUUUUGCUAUAGCCAAAAGCAUGAGCUGUAAAUCCCCAGCUGUGGAUACUGCAUGGCUAUGCUAAUGUUAUAUACUAUUGUAUAUGAAUGAUACUUUUCUUGAGGGCCAUUUUAUCAAUCUGUUGACCUUUGUAGGGCCACUUCUAAACAAAUUAAAAUUGGGACUGCAUCUAUGUCAGUCAGCUGGCAAUGAAGCUUACCCAUCCUAUAGUGCUGUUGGCCACUGAUGGAGGCUCUAGAGGAAUGUCACUGUUGUGGCUCUAGUGUUGUCAUAUGACAGUGUGAGGUAUAUGCCUUGGGAAUCAAGAUGCUUGGUCAUACAGUCAUCUUGUUGCACAUCUGGGCUGGGUGGUUGACGAAUUUCUGAGCCCAGACAGAUCGGUUAGAGUUUCUCAGCAGGGAAGACUCCAGCCAGUCUGGUGACAGUCUGCACACAACUGCCUGGCUUCUUGAAGAAAAUCAGGAAGAGUCUUCAACCCGCACUAAGUGUGAUUUUGAGUUCUCCUGCAUCUUCUUUUCCCUUUGGGUGCCUGAGGCUUAUGCCACCAGGAAGGCAAGGAAACCUCUCAGAGCGGUGUGAAGGGGACAGCAGCAGAGGAGGACCAACCUGCUGAAGAGGGCCUAGUGAACCUGAGUACCUUGUGGUAUGAAAGCCAUGCAUGAAAGCAGCAUAAGCAUUGCAAUAAAAAAAGGAUGACUUGACAAAGUGGGAGGUGGUGAAGGCUGGAAGGUGAGUGUGUGAUCCUGAGAUCAGCCCUGUCAUUGCCAGUAUCACUUGGGUCUCGGACUCUCCUGUUUCUCCCAGAUCUGUAAAAGGUGAGCCAGUUUGGGAGAGGAGUGGCAGAGGCAUGAGAAUGAGCCGCUUGGUGAAAAUCAGUGAAACUGUUGGGGGGCUGGCUGAAAGGUAAACAGACCUUUAUCUGGCAGGCAGAAUUUUGCAAGUGUUGACAGAUAUAGUCCAUGACAAAAUUCUAGACAGCUGGGCCUAGAGAUGGCCCUAGUGUUUGCUGUGGGUCAAUGUGGUGUGAGUGGAGGCAUUGAAGCACUGAUAAGAAAUCUGUGCUGCUCCUCUGCCCUAUUUCUCAUGAGGCUUUUCCUAAUUAGUUUUGCACUUUUGAAUAGGCUUCUGCAAAUGUUUCUGCUAGAGUUCAUUGGAAAAAGACCAGGAAAACUAGCUGUGAGGGCUCACACCUUGUGAGGGAGGAUGAGAAGCUACGUGACCGUCACUCAUCAUGAGGGAUCAUCACUCAUAAUGAGGUACAGGGGCAGUGAGGACUCUUGGGCAAGACCCAGGUAGGACCAAUUGCUGCAUCUUGUCAUUCCAACCCAUUCCAGGGUUGUCACUGCCAGUUGCACACAGAAAGUUGUGGCUUGGGCCACUGGCAGCACAGUGAGCUGCAGUGCCUAGAAGUGACCCCUCACCCUCAGUCACUGAGAAUGCAGAUCAGACAUGAGGUCUGCGAGAGGGACUGAGCAUGCUGCACUUUGUUUGCAAGCAAUGUGGAGAGGACUUUGCUGAAUAAUAAGAUGGCUUUGUUGUGCCACAGGAACCUUCCAGGCUUCAGCCUCCUACCUGAGCUGCACAAGAGUAAACUGCUGUAUGCCCACAGCCUGCCCAUUUGUCAUACUCUCUUAGACGGAGGUGUCAGGCAUUAGAUGUGAGGCAGAUUUGGAUCUCUUCUCUGCUGAUGGUAGGUGAGAAACAGGAUGCUAGUUCCAUGUCAAAAUACUCCUCUGAGCCUUUGUGGAGAGGCUUAUCCAUGGUGGGAGAAUCCCUUCUUUUCUACCCCACACAGGCAUCGGAGGAGUGUGGAGACAGUGAUCCUUCACUGCAUUAUGGAAAAUGGAGAAGAUAAUUGUUUCAUAUGCAUUGCAUGCAGUCAAAAACGAGUUGACAAAACGGACCUAAAUUUCACCAGGAAGAAGUUAUGACAGGAGGCCUUAGUUUCUCCUUGGAGCUCUCAAUCUGCUCCAUGUGGAAAGCUGGUAAAUAGAACCAAGCUGUUUGCAGCAAAAUUAGAGAUUUUUCCAGGUCCCAUAUGGUUUUGGUUAAGAGAGAGCAGACUUCAGUGAGAAACAGUGCUCAGGAAGCGAGUAGGAACUUAGCUUAUGUCUGCAUUUCUAAUUCUGGUUUGUACAAUAAUUCUAAUUCUCAGCCUCAGUUGCUCAUUGGCAAUGCCCACACCCUGUUUUUAGAUCAUUCUGGGUGUAAUUUGCAGAAACCUAUUCUGUAGUUUUUAGGCACUUGUUCAAGAGUGAGCUCACAGUGAGCUUGGUGGGCCUUGCCUACUGAAUGUGUUUAAUCAAAGUCAUCAGUCUUAAUCAUAAAAUCAUAGA